UACGGAGGGUGCGAGCGUUGUCCGGAAUCACUGGGCGUAAAGGGCGCGUAGGCGGCCUGAUAAGUAGGGGGGUGAAAAUCCUGAGGCUUAACCUCAGGGCUGCCUUCUAAACUGUCAGGCUCGAGCACAGUAGAGGCAGGUGGAAUUCCCGGUGUAGCGGUGGAAUGCGUAGAGAUCGGGAAGAACAUCAGUGGCGAAGGCGGCCUGCUGGGCUGUUGCUGACGCUGAGGCGCGACAGCGUGGGGAGCAAACAGG
rnacentral:rRNA from 1 species